rnacentral:rRNA from 1 species
GGGUACCUACGGGGCGCAGCAGUGGGGAAUAUUGCACAAUGGGGGAAACCCUGAUGCAGCAACGCCGCGUGAGUGAAGAAGGUUUUCGGAUUGUAAAGCUCUGUUAGCAGGGAAGAGGAAGGACGGUACCUGCAGAGGAAGCCACGGCUAACUACGUGCCAGCAGCCGCGGUAAUACGUAGGUGGCAAGCGUUGUCCGGAUUUACUGGGUGUAAAGGGCGUGCAGCCGGAGAGACAAGUCAGAUGUGAAAUCCACGGGCUCAACCCGUGAACUGCAUUUGAAACUGUUUCUCUUGAGUGUCGGAG